UUGAUUGGUGCUUGCAUCAUGAUUUACAUUUGAGUGAGUGGCGAACUGGUGAGUAACACGUGGGAAACCUGCCCAGAAGCGGGGGAUAACACCUGGAAACAGAUGCUAAUACCGCAUAACAACUUGGACCGCAUGGUCCGAGUUUGAAAGAUGGCUUCGGCUAUCACUUUUGGAUGGUCCCGCGGCGUAUUAGCUAGAUGGUGGGGUAACGGCUCACCAUGGCAAUGAUACGUAGCCGACCUGAGAGGGUAAUCGGCCACAUUGGGACUGAGACACGGCCCAAACUCCUACGGGAGGCAGCAGUAGGGAAUCUUCCACAAUGGACGAAAGUCUGAUGGAGCAACGCCGCGUGAGUGAAGAAGGGUUUCGGCUCGUAAAACUCUGUUGUUAAAGAAGAACAUAUCUGAGAGUAACUGUUCAGGUAUUGACGGUAUUUAACCAGAAAGCCACGGCUAACUACGUGCCAGCAGCCGCGGUAAUACGUAGGUGGCAAGCGUUGUCCGGAUUUAUUGGGCGUAAAGCGAGCGCAGGCGGUUUUUUAAGUCUGAUGUGAAAGCCUUCGGCUCAACCGAAGAAGUGCAUCGGAAACUGGGAAACUUGAGUGCAGAAGAGGACAGUGGAACUCCAUGUGUAGCGGUGAAAUGCGUAGAUAUAUGGAAGAACACCAGUGGCGAAGGCGGCUGUCUGGUCUGUAACUGACGCUGAGGCUCGAAAGUAUGGGUAGCAAACAGGAUUAGAUACCCUGGUAGUCCAUACCGUAAACGAUGAAUGCUAAGUGUUGGAGGGUUUCCGCCCUUCAGUGCUGCAGCUAACGCAUUAAGCAUUCCGCCUGGGGAGUACGGCCGCAAGGCUGAAACUCAAAGGAAUUGACGGGGGCCCGCACAAGCGGUGGAGCAUGUGGUUUAAUUCGAAGCUACGCGAAGAACCUUACCAGGUCUUGACAUACUAUGCAAAUCUAAGAGAUUAGACGUUCCCUUCGGGGACAUGGAUACAGGUGGUGCAUGGUUGUCGUCAGCUCGUGUCGUGAGAUGUUGGGUUAAGUCCCGCAACGAGCGCAACCCUUAUUAUCAGUUGCCAGCAUUAAGUUGGGCACUCUGGUGAGACUGCCGGUGACAAACCGGAGGAAGGUGGGGAUGACGUCAAAUCAUCAUGCCCCUUAUGACCUGGGCUACACACGUGCUACAAUGGAUGGUACAACGAGUUGCGAACUCGCGAGAGUAAGCUAAUCUCUUAAAGCCAUUCUCAGUUCGGAUUGUAGGCUGCAACUCGCCUACAUGAAGUCGGAAUCGCUAGUAAUCGCGGAUCAGCAUGCCGCGGUGAAUACGUUCCCGGGCCUUGUACACACCGCCCGUCACACCAUGAGAGUUUGUAACACCCAAAGUCGGUG
rnacentral:rRNA from 2 species